GGCGCACCCAGAAACCCUUUGUGAACUUAUACCUUACUGUUGCCUCGGCGUACGCUGGCCCCUAGGGGUCCCUCUUGUCUCAAGAGGAGCAGGCGCGCCGGCGGCCAAGUUAACUCUUGUUUUUACACUGAAACUCUGAGAAAAAAAACAAAAUGAAUCAAAACUUUCAACAACGGAUCUCUUGGUUCUGGCAUCGAUGAAGAACGCAGCGAAAUGCGAUAAGUAAUGUGAAUUGCAGAAUUCAGUGAAUCAUCGAAUCUUUGAACGCACAUUGCGCCCUCCGGUAUUCCGGAGGGCAUGCCUGUUCGAGCGUCAUUUCAACCCUCAAGCCUGGCUUGGUGUUGGGGCACUGCCUGUAAAAGGGCAGGCCCUCAAAUCUAGUGGCGAGCUCGCCAGGACCCCGAGCGUAGUAGUUAAACCCUCGCUUUGGAAGGCCCUGGCGGUGCCCUGCCGUUAAACCCCCAACUUUUGAAAAUUUGACCUCGGAUCAGGUAGGAAUACCCGCUGAACUUAAGCAUA
rnacentral:rRNA from 1 species